GAUUUGAUUUAGGCUGUAUAUCUAGUUUGCUGAUUUGUAUAUUAUUGGAGGGAAUGAGUAAGCUAGAAGAUGUAUACUAAAUUAAAUGACAGAGUUUCUUUCCUUCUCUUAAUUUCUUUUAAAAGAUUUGGCGGUUUAAAGUAUAAAUUAUGGCACUGUUUUGGUGGUUUAAAAUGUGUCCACCAAUUCUUUGAUUCUCCUCCCUUUAAGAGGCCUGUUCCAUACUUAGUGACUUGCUUCUAACAAAUGGAAUGUGGCAGAAGUGACAAUAUGUGGCCUUCAAGAUUAAAACAUAAAAGGUAUUGUGGCUCUUAUUCUUUUCAGUUUUGGUGCUCCUCCCUGCUCUCUGCAGGGGGGAGUCUUUGAGAUUUGACAGAUGGGAAAUUAGAAGACAGGGGAGUAAUUGAGGCUCCUAGGAACUUGAGCUGUGGUUUCAGUUUCAGGAACCCUGGAAAGGAGAAGUAAUCCAAUAAGAGGAAGAAGAAAUAGAGUAGAAUAAAUAGAACAGUUGAAUCUCAUUUAUAUUUGCACCCAUAUUUCUGGCCUUCAGUCCAGCCUUGUGAAAAUUGAGAAUAUGUUGAUCAACAAGAUGAAACAUCAGCAGUUUCCAGACAAAGGUUAUGAGCUUUCUUCAUCUCAUUACUUUCACCUGUUGACAGAGCCUAGCUGGAUGUCUUGGCCUCAGACAUUAGUAUGGUAACACAAAUGAUUGAAAAUUAAAAGUUUAUUGUCUGAUGAAAACCACUAACAAAAAGGUAUCUGGUAACCUCUUACCCUCAUAUAUUUGGAAAAGAA
rnacentral:lncRNA from 1 species